UACGUAGGGGGCGAGCGUUGUCCGGAUUCAUUGGGCGUAAAGCGCGCGUAGGCGGCCCCGCAAGUCGGCCGUGAAAUCUCCGGGCUCAACUCGGAGGGGUCGGGCGAGACUGCGAGGCUCGAGGUGGGCAGAGGGCAGUGGAAUUCCGGGUGUAGUGGUGGAAUGCGUAGAGAUCCGGAGGAACACCAGUGGCGAAGGCGGCUGCCUGGGCCUGGCCUGACGCUGAGGCGCGAAAGCGUGGGGAGCAAUCGGG
rnacentral:rRNA from 1 species